rnacentral:lncRNA from 1 species
CACCACUCCACGACUGCCGACGGGACGGGGACGGGGACGGCGCGACGUACGCACUACUCUCCACCGGUCUCCACUCCGCUCGCCACCCGCCCGCCUGCCUCGGAAUCGAGGCCGGCCGGUGCUCGUGAUUCCAGUCCUCCGUCGGGCGCGGCGGCGUCAGCGUUCCUCCGCCGUGUGCCGCCUCCCUCUCCAUGGAUUUCGUCUGCCCCGGCGACCCCGCGGUAUGGGACGUCGACGGGAGGCGUUUCGGGCCGUGCUUCGCGGAUUUGGUGCUGGGAUUCGCUGGGAAUGCGAUCGCCGCGGUUGCUGCACUUGGGCUCUUCCUCGCCAAGAGGAACACAAACAGAGCUCAGAACGUCACAAGAAGUUUAUCGGAG